GAUGAACGCUGGCGGCGUGCCUAAUACAUGCAAGUCGAGCGAACAGAUAAGGAGCUUGCUCCUUUGACGUUAGCGGCGGACGGGUGAGUAACACGUGGGUAACCUACCUAUAAGACUGGGAUAACUUCGGGAAACCGGAGCUAAUACCGGAUAACAUUUGGAACCGCAUGGUUCUAAAGUGAAAGAUGGUUUUGCUAUCACUUAUAGAUGGACCCGCGCCGUAUUAGCUAGUUGGUAAGGUAACGGCUUACCAAGGCAACGAUACGUAGCCGACCUGAGAGGGUGAUCGGCCACACUGGAACUGAGACACGGUCCAGACUCCUACGGGAGGCAGCAGUAGGGAAUCUUCCGCAAUGGGCGAAAUCCUGACGGAGCAACGCCGCGUGAGUGAUGAAGGGUUUCGGCUCGUAAAACUCUGUUAUUAGGGAAGAACAAACGUGUAAUUAACUGUGCACGUCUUGACGGUACCUAAUCAGAAAGCCACGGCUAACUACGUG
rnacentral:rRNA from 1 species